rfam:Aedes aegypti strain Liverpool supercont1.614 genomic scaffold, whole genome shotgun sequence.
AUGACCGUGCUUCAAAGAAUCAUUUCUGUAGGCAAGUUUUCAGCGCUAGUUUUUACCAAAAGGGAAAGCUUACCACCAACGAUGAUGUGACAUACUUUUCAGCUUGGAGCGUGAAACUUGGUUCAGCUAUGCCCAUUCGAUUUAUUCGGAAGGGCACUGAACUUUUGAUGAUCGGCUUCCUUGCAUGACGGUGUCGAUGGCGUCGAGUGAUAAUAACUUCUCGCGUUGA